rnacentral:rRNA from 1 species
UACGGAGGGUGCAAACGUUGCUCGGAAUCAUUGGGCGUAAAAGCGCACGUAGGCGGCUUUGUUAAGUCGGAUGUGAAAGCCCUCGGCUCAAACCUGGAGGAAGUGCCAUAACGAAACUGGCGGAGCGUUGAAUAUGGAAGAGGGGUCGGCGGAAUUCCCGGGUUCUAGAGGUGGAAAUGACGUAGAUAUUCGCCAAGGAACAACCAGUCGGCGAAGGCGGCUGACUGGUCCGGUUCUGACGCUGAGGCGCGAAAGCGUGGGGAGCAAACAGGG